AUACAGAGGGUGCGAGCGUUAAUCGGAAUUACUGGGCGUAAAGCGCGCGUAGGCGGUCUAUUAAGUCAGAUGUGAAAUCCCAGGGCUCAACCUUGGAACUGCAUCUGAUACUGGUAGACUAGAGUUUUGGAGAGGGAAGUAGAAUUUCAGGUGUAGCGGUGAAAUGCAUAGAGAUCUGAAGGAAUACCAGUGGCGAAGGCGACUUCCUGGCCAAAAACUGACGCUGAGGUGCGAAAGCGUGGGUAGCAAACGGAAUUAGAAACCCCGGUAGUCC
rnacentral:rRNA from 1 species